UGAGGAAUAUUGGUCAAUGGGCGAGAGCCUGAACCAGCCAAGUCGCGUGAAGGAAGACUGCUCGCAAGGGUUGUAAACUUCUUUUGUAUGGGAUUAAAGUCACCUACGUGUAGGUGUUUGCAGUUACCACACGAAUAAGCAUCGGCUAACUCCGUGCCAGCAGCCGCGGUAAUACGGAGGAUGCGAGCGUUAUCCGGAAUUAUUGGGUUUAAAGGGUGCGUAGGUUGCAAGGGAAGUCAGGGGUGAAAAGCUAUAGCUCAACUAUGGUCUUGCCUUUGAAACUCUCUAGCUAGAGUGUACUGGAGAUACGUGGAACGUGUGGUGUAGCGGUGAAAUGCAUAGAUAUCACACAGAAAUCCGAUUGCGCAGGCAGCGUACUACGUUACGACUGACACUGAAGCACGAAAGCGUGGGUAUCAAACAGG
rnacentral:rRNA from 1 species